AAAGUCGGUUCGGGGUGCGUAAAAACGCUGAGAUUACACCCGUUAAACCUGAUCUAGGUAGUGCUAGCGAAGGGAAAAUCAUGGAAGAAUUAA
rnacentral:ncRNA from 2 species